AUUGCUAUCGGGGUGAGACUAAGCCAUGCGAGUUGAGCGCUUCUUAGCUAUGUUGGAAGAGCAGCAAACGGCUCAAUAACACGUGGUCAAUCUGCCCUUAGGACGGAAAUAACCCUGGGAAACUGGGACUAAUGGCCGAUAGAUGAAGAUGCCUGGAAUGGUUUUUCAUUUAAAAGUUCUUAGAAACAUGCUUUUAAGAAUGCCUAAGGAUGAGACUGCGCCCGAUCAGGCUGUUGGUGGGGUCACGGCCCACCAAACCUAUAACCGGUACGGGCCCUGAAAGGGGGAGCCCGGAGAUGGGAACUGAGAUAAGGUCCCAGGCCCUACGGGGCGCAGCAGGCGCGAAACCUCCACAAUGCGCGAAAGCGUGAUGGGGUUACCCCGAGUGCUAUCCGAUGAGGAUCGCUUUUACCCAGUGUAAGGAUCUGGGGGAAUAAAGGGGGGGCAAGACUGGUGUCAGCCGCCGCGGUAAUACCAGCCCCCUGAGUGAUAGGGACGAUUAUUUGGCCUAAAGCGUUCGUAGCCGGCCCGAUAAGUCCCCCGUGAAAUCCGGCGACUUAAUCGUCGGGCGUGCGGGGGAUACUGUCAGGCUAGAGGGCGGGAGAGGUUGACGGUAGUCCCGGGGUAGGGGUGAAAUCCUAUAAUCCCGGGAGGACCACCAGAGGCGAAGGCGGUCAACUAGAACGCGCCUGACGGUGAGGGACGAAAGCUGGGGGAGCGAACCGGAUUAGACACCCGGGUAGUCCCAGCUGUAAACGAUGCGGGCUAGGUGUUGGGGCAGCUACGAGCUGUUCCAGUGCCGCAGAGAAGUUGUUAAGCCCGCCGCCUGGGAAGUACGGCCGCAAGGCUGAAACUUAAAGGAAUUGGCGGGGGAGCACCACAAGGGGUGAAG
rnacentral:rRNA from 1 species